GGCUAUUCAAGUUGAGUUAGGUGGAUUUACUUAACUUUUAUGCAUUUACAUUUCUGGCUAGAAUCCUUUUUUCAUUAAAAUAUAAGGUAAGGAAUAUCUUGACAUAAUCCAAAACUUAAAUUUCUGAUACUAUCAAGAAUUCUUUACCUUUCUUACUAGUACAUUGUAAAACAUUCAUUUAUGAAUUUUGAUUUGCUUACAUCUUAAGGGAAAAACUUAUUCUUCGUUUGUCAAUGAUCGUAUGAGCACGGCGAUCUUGGAUAGUCUCAUCGAUAUGAUCUAUCUAUUUGUUUUUUAU
rnacentral:lncRNA from 1 species